UGGGGAAUAUUGCACAAUGGGCGAAAGCCUGAUGCAGCGACGCCGCGUGAGGGAUGACGGCCUUCGGGUUGUAAAACUCUUUCAGCAGGGACGAAGCGCAAGUGACGGUACCUGCAGAAGAAGCACCGGCUAACUACGUGCCAGCAGCCGAGGUAAUACGUAGGGUGCAAGCGUUGUCCGGAAUUACUGGGCGUAAAGAGUUCGUAGGCGGUUUGUCGCGUGGUUUGUGAAAACCAGCAGCUCAACUGCUGGCUUGCAGGCGAUUCGGGCAGAGUUGAGUACAGCAGAGGAGACUGGAAUUCCUGGUGUAGCGGUGAGAUGCGCAGAUAUCAGGAGGAACACCGGUAGCGAAGGCGGGUCUCUGGGCAGUAACUGACACUGAGAAACGAAAGCGUGGGUAGCGAACAGG
rnacentral:rRNA from 1 species